UACGAAGGGGGCUAGCGUUGCUCGGAAUCACUGGGCGUAAAGCGCACGUAGGCGGCUUUUUAAGUCAGGGGUGAAAUCCUGGAGCUCAACUCCAGAACUGCCUUUGAUACUGGGAAGCUUGAGUCCGGAAGAGGUGAGUGGAACUGCGAGUGUAGAGGUGAAAUUCGUAGAUAUUCGCAAGAACACCAGUGGCGAAGGCGGCUCACUGGCCCGAUACUGACGCUGAGGCACGAAAGCGUGGGGGAGCAAACAGG
rnacentral:rRNA from 1 species